GGCUGAAGGUUAGGAUCCCUAGGAGCAGAAAUAGAGGAGGAGGAUGGUGAAGUGGUAGUAGUGGGCUGAUUGUUGGCAUUUGAAGAGGGUGAAGGAGUAGGGUUAGUGUUGGUUGUUUGUGUUAUAGGGUUGGCUGACACAGAGGCAGUAGGUGUGUGGCUGGAAUUGAAUUGAGAAGAAGAAGAGGAGUGUGAGGUAGUGGAAGCAGUAGGAACGGGAAAAACAUUAGGGAAAGCUUGUGUGUUAAGGGUUACUUUAGAUGAAGAAGAGGAUAGAAUGGUUGA
rnacentral:lncRNA from 1 species